UAUUGCACUUUCCCUGGCCAGA
rnacentral:miRNA from 1 species